UGUAAUGUGCCUGAUUAAAGGAUUAUUUUGAUGGAAUAAAUUAUGUUUUUACCAUUACAU
rnacentral:tRNA from 1 species